ACGGGAGGCAGCAGUGGGGAAUAUUGGGCAAUGGGGGAAACCCUGACCCAGCAACGCCGCGUGAAGGAAGAAGGCCCUCGGGUUGUAAACUUCUUUUACCAGGGACGAAUAAAAUGACGGUACCUGGAGAAAAAGCAACGGCUAACUACGUGCCAGCAGCCGCGGUAAUACGUAGGUUGCAAGCGUUGUCCGGAUUUACUGGGUGUAAAGGGCGUGUAGGCGGAGCUGCAAGUCAGAUGUGAAAUCCCGGGGCUCAACCCCGGAACUGCAUUUGAAACUGUAGCCCUUGAGUAUCGGAGAGGCAAGCGGAAUUCCUAGUGUAGCGGUGAAAUGCGUAGAUAUUAGGAAGAACACCGGUGGCGAAGGCGACUUGCUGGACUGAGACUGACGCUGAGGCUCGAAAGCGUGGGGAGCAAACAGGAUUAGAUACCCUGGUA
rnacentral:rRNA from 1 species